GGAAGGAUCAUUUGAACCAUCCACCGACAUGUCAUUUCCAGGAAUUAAACGUUAAAAACCAGCUGAUGAUUUAACAGGAAACAACUUGAUGAAGAUUGAUGCAAAACUUAAUAUUAUUGAGGAAGUGCACUCCAUCGUGACUCAAAAAUUAUCGAAUGCAAUAGAAAUGAUUUAUCAUUUGAACACAUCCAAUAUAAAGAGAUCAUAUUUCUUGUCGAAAUAUCGAAUCAAUAAAAAAGUUUCUAUUUGGGUGUGUUCGAAGAAUCACUGAAUUUAAGCAUAUUAGUAAGUGAGAAUGUAAUUAACAAAGCUUCCGGGAGUAUUGGCGAAAGAAAUCGGAAGGAAUUGUGCCCUCUCAAUGAGGAACCAAUUAAUCGUUGUGUAAUUUGAAUUAAAAAUUAUCAAGAUAGGGUGGAAAACCCUUAUACACAAUUGAAACAUAAAAAUUUGAGUAUUGCAAAUUGAAAAUUUUGCGAGAAUUCUUGUUACAUUGCAAGAAAAAUAAAUGAUAUGUAUUUCUGUUAGCGAAGAAGUACCGUGAGGGAAAUAUGAAAAGAACUUUGAAGAAAGGGUUAAAAGUAUAUGAACCAGCUGGGAGUGGUGAGAAACUGAAUCUCGGAAAGCGUCUUCUAGUAUGUGGAAGUUUUUUCUCAACGAAGAAUGAGUUUCUUACUCCCGUCUUGAAACACGGAUCAAGGAGUUUUAUUGAUACGCGAGCAUGAGAAUUAUCUCCUGCGAAGUGAAAACGAUUCACAAAUAUCCUAAUCUAAUUAGAGAGAGAGUGUUCAGUAAAUACCCGAAAGAUGGUGAACUAUGCCUGGAAAGAAUAAAGGCAGGGGAAACUCUGCUGGACGUUUGAAGUGUUACUGACGUGCAAAUCGUUCAUGAUAGCUGGGUAUAGGGGCGAAAGACUCAUCGAACCAUCUAGUAGCUGGUUCCCUC
rnacentral:misc_RNA from 1 species